rnacentral:rRNA from 1 species
UACAGAGGGGGCAAGCGUUGUUCGGAAUUACUGGGCGUAAAGGGCGCGUAGGCGGCCCGCUAAGUCGAACGUGAAAUCCCCGAGCUCAACUCGGGAACUGCGUCCGAUACUGGUGGGCUUGAAUCCGGGAGAGGGAUGCGGAAUUCCAGGUGUAGCGGUGAAAUGCGUAGAUAUUGGGAGGAACACCAGUGGCGAAGGCGGUCCCCUGGGCCGGAACUGACGCUGAGGCGCGAAAGCGUGGGUAGCAAACGGG